AUUGAACGCUGGCGGCAGGCCUAACACAUGCCAGUCGAACGGUAACAGGGAACAGCUUGCUGUUUCGCUGACGAGUGGCGGACGGGUGAGUAAUGUCUGGGAAACUGCCUGAUGGAGGGGGAUAACUACUGGAAACGGUAGCUAAUACCGCAUAACGUCGCAAGACCAAAGAGGGGGACCCUCGGGCCUCUUGCCAUCGGAUGUGCCCAGAUGGGAUUAGCUUGUUGGUGGGGUCACGGCUCACCAAGGCGACGAUCCCUAGCUGGUCUGAGAGGAUGACCAGCCACACUGGAACUGAGACACGGUCCAGACUCCUACGGGAGGCAGCAGUGGGGAAUAUUGCACAAUGGGCGCAAGCCUGAUGAAGCCAUGCCGCGUGUAUGAAGAAGGCCUUCGGGUUGUAAAGUACUUUCAGCGGGGAGGAAGGGAGUAAAGUUAAUACCUUUGCUCAUUGACGUUACCCGCAGAAGAAGCACCGGCUAACUCCGUG
rnacentral:rRNA from 1 species